UACGUAGGGUGCGAGCGUUGUCCGGAAUUAUUGGGCGUAAAGAGCUCGUAGGCGGUGUGUCACGUCGUUCGUGAAAACCUGCAGCUUAACUGUGGGCGUGCGGUCGAUACGGGCAUCACUGGAGUUCGGCAGGGGAGACUGGAAUUCCUGGUGUAGCGGCGAAAUGCGCAGAUAUCAGGAGGAACACCGGUGGCGAAGGCGGGUCUCUGGGCCGAAAUUGACGCUGAGGAGCGAAAGCGUGGGGAGCAAACAGG
rnacentral:rRNA from 1 species